AUUGAACGCUGGCGGCAGGCCUAACACAUGCAAGUCGAGCGAGCGGCGGACGGGUGAGUAAUGUGUGGGAAACUGCCUGAUGGAGGGGGCUAACUCCUGGAAACGGUAGCUAAUACCGCAUAGCCACAGAUGUGCCCAGAUGGGAUGAGCUAGUAGGUGGGGUAACGGCUCACCUAGGCGACGCUCCCUAGCUGGUCUGAGAGGAUGACCAGGCAGACGGGAACUGAGGCAGGGUCCAGACUCCUGCGGGAGGAAGCGGUGGGGAAUAUUGCACAAGGGGCGAAAGCCUGAUGCAGCCAUGCCGCGUGUGUGAAGAAGGCCUGCGGGUUGUAAAGCACUGUAAGCAGGGGGGCGUUACCCUCAGAGGAAGCACCGGCUAACUCCGUGCCAGCAGCCGCGGUAAUAC
rnacentral:rRNA from 1 species